rnacentral:pre_miRNA from 1 species
AUACUACUCCCUCCGUUCGGAAUUACUUGUCAUAGAAAUGGAUGUAUCUAGAUGUAUUUUAGUUCUAGAUACAUCCAUUUUCGAGACAAGUAAUUCCGAACGGAGGGAGUAUAUG